rnacentral:piRNA from 1 species
UGCCAUGCACACAAGUUCCAGAACUGAGA